GACGAACGCUGGCGGCGUGCUUAACACAUGCAAGUCGAACGGAAAGGCCCUGCUUUUGUGGGGUGCUCGAGUGGCGAACGGGUGAGUAACACGUGAGUAACCUGCCCUUGACUGUGGGAUAACUUCUGGAAACUGGGGCUAAUACCGGAUAGGAGCUACUGCUGCACGGGGGGGGUUGGUAAGUUUCGGCGGUUGGGGAUGGACUCGCGGCUUAUCAGCUUGUUGGGCGGGUAGGGGCUGCCCAAGGCUUUGACGGGUAGCCGGCCUGAGAGGGUGACCGGCCACCUUGGGCCUGCGAUACGGCCCAGACUCCUACGGGAGGCAGCAGUGGGGAAUAUUGCAGAAUGGGCGGAAGCCUGAGGCAGCAACGCCGCGUGCGGGAUGACGGCCUUCGGGUUGUAAACAGCUUUCGCCUGUGACGAAGCGUGAGUGACGGUAAUGGGUAAAGAAGCACCGGCUAACUACGUG
rnacentral:rRNA from 1 species